AUUGAACGCUGGCGGCAUGCCUUACACAUGCAAGUCGAACGGUAACAGGUCUUCGGAUGCUGACGAGUGGCGAACGGGUGAGUAAUACAUCGGAACGUGCCUAGUAGUGGGGGAUAACUACUCGAAAGAGUGGCUAAUACCGCAUGAGAUCUACGGAUGAAAGCAGGGGAUCGCAAGACCUUGUGCUACUAGAGCGGCCGAUGGCAGAUUAGGUAGUUGGUGGGAUAAAAGCUUACCAAGCCGACGAUCUGUAGCUGGUCUGAGAGGACGAUCAGGCCUACUGGGCCUGAGACACGGCCCAGACUCCUACGGGAGGCAGCAGUGGGGAAUUUUGGACAAUGGGCGCAAGCCUGAUCCAGCAACGCCGCGUGCAGGAUGAAGGCCUUCGGGUUGUAGACUGCUUUUGUACGGAACGAAAAGCCCUGGGUUAAUACCCUGGGGUCAUGACGGUACCGUAAGAAUAAGCACCGGCUAACUACGUGCCAGCCGCCGCCGUAAAAC
rnacentral:rRNA from 1 species